AGACUACUGUGAGGUAGACACUCACUCACUCUUUGGUAGUUACUGAUUGCUGUCGCUACAUUAUUAGCUAAACAGGCUAUUUUCCACGGUGGGUCGCAGGGACGGCUGCUUACAAUAGUAAGAACGCGUGUUGUAUACUAUAUCGUUCUGCCUCUAUUUCCAUUGCAUUCCUCGUCUCUCAUGUACGAGGCAGCACUGCUGCUAACACCAUGAUACUCGCAUUGGCCCAGGCAACAAUCUAACAGGUGGGUAGGGAUUCCGAACCGCAAUUUGGCGGAGGGGGCGUUUUCCAUUCCCCCCCCUUUUUCUUACUUCGGGAGAGGGCAUGUGCCCAAAUGGGAUGCGAUUUGUGAUGCUCAUCUGACAGGAACUGCACGCCGUGAUUAGGGAACAACAAGCUGGAGUUACAGGUUAAAACCAGGGAUUUUUCAUCGUUCUCACUAUCAUAAGGAAAGGGAGACCACAGCAAAAUCCAAUAGCGCUGCUGACCUUCUACUGCGUAGUUCCAAACUAACUACAAGAUGACAGCAAUUCAAUUGGCAGUUGAUACAUUGCAUGUACUGUUUAUAUAAAUACAAUUGCGUGGAGCUGUUUCCCCAGAACUA
rnacentral:sRNA from 1 species